GCCUGGCUAGCUCAUUUGGUAGAGCAUGGGAAUCUUGAUCUCCAGUGCCUGGGUUUGAGCCCCACACCAGAUG